rnacentral:rRNA from 1 species
CAGCCGCGGUAAUACCUGCAGCUCGAGUGGUGAUCACUAUUAUUGGGCCUAAAACGUCCGUAGCCUGUCUUAUAAAUGCCUGGGUAAAUCGUGCCGCUUAACGGUACGAAUUCCGGGUAGACUGUNAGACUUGAGACCGGGUGAGGCUAGAGGUACUCCUAGGGUAGAGGUGAAAUUCUGUAAUCCUAGGGGGACCACCAGUGGCGAAGGCGUCUAGCUAGAACGGGUCUGACGGUGAGGGACGAAGCCCUGGGGCGCAAACCGGAUUAGAUACCCGGGUAGUCCAGGGUGUAAACGCUGCUUGCUUGAUGUUAGUCGGGCUUCGAGCCCGAUUAGUGUCGGAGAGAAGUUGUUAAGCAAGCUGCCUGGGAAGUACGGUCGCAAGGCUGAAACUUAAAGGAAUUGGCGGGGGAGCACAGCAACGGGUGGAGCGUGCGGUUUAAUUGGAUUCAACGCCGGAAAACUCACCGGAGGCGACGGUUACAUGAAGGCCAGGCUGAUGACCUUGCUAGAUUUUCCGAGAGGUGGUGCAUGGCCGCCGUCAGUUCGUACCGUAAGGCGUUCUGUUAAGUCAGACAACGAACGAGACCCUCAUCUUUAAUUGCUACUGGUAAGUUCGCUUACUGGGCACAUUAGAGAGACCGCUGGCGAUAAGUCAGAGGAGGGCGAGGGCAACGGUAGGUCAGUAUGCCCUGAAUCUUCCGGGCUACACGCGCGCUACAAAGGCAAGAACAAUGGGUUCAAACACCAAAAGGUGAAGGUAAUCUCGGAAACCUGUUCAUAGUUCGAAUCGAGGGUUGUAACUCACCCUCGUGAAGCUGGAAUCCGUAGUAAUCGCGCAUCAACAUCCCGCGGUGAAUAUGCCCCUGCUCCUUGCACACACCGCCCGUCAAACCAUGCGAAUCGGGUGUAAGCGAGGAUGUAAUUUUUGUUACAUUCUCAGUUAGCAUGAGUGUAAGGAGGGUUAAGUCGUAACAAGGUAAGCCGUA